AGGAAUUGGCGGGGGAGCACCGCAACGGGAGGAGCGUGCGGUUUAAUUGGAUUCAACACCGGAAAACUCACCAGCGGCGACUGUUACAUGAAAGUCAGGCCGAUGACCUUACUAGAUUUUCAGAGAGGUGGUGCAUGGCCGUCGUCAGUUCGUACCGUAAGGCGUUCUCUUAAGUGAGAUAACGAACGAGACCCUCACCAAUAGUUGCUACUCCAUCCUCCGGGGUGGAGGCACACUAUUGGGACCGCUGGCGCUAAGUCAGAGGAAGGAGAGGUCAACGGUAGGUCAGUAUGCCCCGAAUCUGCUGGGCUACACGCGCGCUACAAAGGGCGGGACAAUGGGCUCCGACACCGAAAGGUGAAGGUAAUCCCGAAACCCGUCCGUAGUUCGGAUUGAGGGUUGUAACUCACCCUCAUGAAGCUGGAUUCCGUAGUAAUCGCGAAUCAACAACUCGCGGUGAAUAUGCCCCUGCUCCUUGCACACACCGC
rnacentral:rRNA from 2 species